rnacentral:lncRNA from 1 species
UUUUGUGCUCUUUGGAUUUUAGGUACAGAAGAAUUCACUGUCUUUUCCUUUUGAUUUUAAUUAGCACAUGUUGUUUGUUUCCUUUUAAAUUAUGAAGCUUAAUUAGCUAAAAUCAUAUCCGUCUCUUUUGCUCUCCACUCCCUCUGUUUAAAAAGAUUGCAGUUAGAAUCUUCUCUUUGUUUGUAUUUGAUUAACUUUACAGCUUAGGAUUCUUUUUAGCAUUUCGUAUUUCGUUAGAAACUUUAAUACUAAAAAAGAGUUACUUCAAGUUUUACUAUAAAAUUUCUGGAUAAUAAUCUUACAUCUUAUACAUAAUGCUUAAUAUUCUACUGUUUAUCAGGGUUAAACUGCAUUUACUCAUAUUCUGUCCCAACUAGCUGAAGAGAUUUUAAAAGUUUCUCUUACAAAAGUUCUGCUCAGAACUCUGAUAGAGACUGGAGAAAAACAUGGUUCAGACAUUGGAGGCCAUCAAAGGUGGUGGAGGGUCCAUCAAAGUUGGAACCAUUGAGACAAAUCUUCUGCACCUACUAUUCUGGCACCUGGUGGUGUUACGUCUCCCAAAAGAUUAAGGCCAAGAUCAUCAGCUAAUGAAGCAAGUAGUAAUCGCAGCAGCAAUAUAAAUAGAAACCCGAAAAAUCACCAUUUGUAGUACUGUCUUCCAUAGUAAGCAGCUAGAACUGCUUAGUAUUGUUGAGUUGUUUUUGUUUUAAAGACAUGCAUGUUAGUUUCUAAAUAACAUCCAUAUUCUGUAAUGUUGUUGAGUGAGUCAUUAGAAAUUAAUUUUAUCUCUGGAUUGGCUUGCUUUUCAGAUAAUAAGUUGGUCUCAAUUGCCUAAUUGAGGUCCUUAAUGUCAAUUACAUUCCACAAAAACAAAAAGUUGUAUAGCGUACAACAUUCAAAUGUUAUAAAUAUUACAGAAAAAUGAAAUAUCAAACUUAGAUAAUAAUCAA